UACGAAGGGGGCUAGCGUUGCUCGGAAUGACUGGGCGUAAAGGGCGCGUAGGCGGAUGGCACAGUCAGAUGUGAAAUUCCCGGGCUUAACCUGGGGGCUGCAUUUGAUACGUGUUGUCUAGAGUGAGGAAGAGGGUUGUGGAAUUCCCAGUGUAGAGGUGAAAUUCGUAGAUAUUGGGAAGAACACCGGUGGCGAAGGCGGCAGCCUGGUCCUUGACUGACGCUGAGGCGCGAAAGCGUGGGGAGCAAACAGG
rnacentral:rRNA from 1 species